rnacentral:rRNA from 1 species
UACAGAGGGGGCAAGCGUUAUUCGGAAUUAUUGGGCGUAAAGGGCGCGUAGGCGGCCAUGCGUGUCUUCCGUGAAAUCCCUCGGCUUAACUGAGGACGUGCGGAAGAAACUGCAAGGCUCGAGUCCGGGAGAGGGGGGUGGAAUUCCCAGUGUAGCGGUGAAAUGCGUAGAUAUUGGGAGGAACACCGGUGGCGAAGGCGGCCCCCUGGACCGGUACUGACGCUGAGGCGCGAAAGCGUGGGUGGCAAACGGG